rnacentral:rRNA from 1 species
AGUGAACGCUGGCGGCGUGCCUAACACAUGCAAGUCGAAGGAAGUGGCGCACGGGUGAGUAAUAUAUAGCUAACCUGCACCUUGCUGGAGGACAACCGAUAGAAAUGACUGAUAAUACACCAUAGCGAGGGAUGAGACGAUAACGUAUCAGCUAGUCGGUGGGGUAACGGCCUACCGAGUGUAUGACGCGUAACUGGUCUGAGAGGAUGAUCAGUCACAUUGGAAGGGAGGCACGGUCGAGGCACCUACGGGAGGCAGCGGUAGGGAAUAUUACGCACUGGGGGUGACCCUGGCGGGGCAACGCGGCGUGGAGGAUGACAGUUGUGGGAGCGUAGACUCCUUUUGUUAGGGAAGCGGUACCUAACGAAUAAGCACCGGCUAACUCCGUGCCAGCAGCCGCGGUAAUUC